AGAGAGAAUGCUGGCAUAAGUAAGCGAGAAGGCAGGUGAGAAUCCUGCCCGCCGGAAGCCUAAGGAUUCCUGGGGAAGGCUCGUCCGCCCAGGGUAAGCCGGGACCUAACCCGAGGCCAAAAGGCGUAGGGGAUGGACAACUGGUUGAGAGUCCAGUGCCACCAUCAAACCGUUCGAGCGAUGGGGUGACGCAGGAGGAUAAGUGAAGCGUGCGAUUGGAAGAGCACGUCCAAGCACUAAGGGGGCAGAGUAGGCAAAUCCGCUCUGUGUAAACCCUGAGGUGUGAAGGGGAGGGAAGCGUAGUACCGAAGUCACCGAUUCCAAACUGCCAAGAAAAGCCUCUAGCGAGGUUUGAGGUGCCCGUACCGCAAACCGACACAGGUAGGCAAGGAGAGAAUCCUAAGGCGCGCGAGAGAACCCUCGUUAAGGAACUCGGCAAAAAGACCCCGUAACUUCGGGAGAAGGGGUGCUCCGUUAUCGUGAAUGAAAAUGAGCGAGAGGGAGCCGCAGUGACCAGGCCCAGGCGACUGUUUAGCAAAAACACAGGUCUCUGCCAAAUCGAAAGAUGAAGUAUAGAGGCUGACGCCUGCCCGGUGCCGGAAGGUUAAGGGGAAAGGUUAGCUGAAAGGCGAAGCUUUGAACCGAAGCCCCGGUGAACGGCGGCCGUAACUAUAACGGUCCUAAGGUAGCGAAAUUCCUUGUCUGGUAAGUUCAGACCCGCACGAAAGGCGUAACGAUCUGGGCACUGUCUCGACGAGGGGCUCGGUGAAAUUGUAGUACCGGUGAAGAUGCCGGUUACCUGCGAUAGGACAGAAAGACCCCGUGGAGCUUUACUGUAGCUUGAUAUUGGAUUUUGGUAGUUUAUGUACAGGAUAGGUGGGAGGCUGAGAGAGCAGGUCGCCAGGCUUGCUGGAGCCACUGGUGGGAUACCACUCUUAAAUUGCUGGAGUUCUAACCUAGGCCCGUGACCCGGGUCAGGGACAGUGUCAGGUGGGCAGUUUGACUGGGGCGGUCGCCUCCCAAAGAGUAACGGAGGCGCCCAAAGGUUUCCUCAGCGCGGAUGGAAAUCGCGCGAAGAGUGUAAAGGCAUAAGGGAGCUUGACUGCGAGAGAGACAUCUCGAGCAGGGACGAAAGUCGGGCUUAGUGAUCCGGCGGUACCGAGUGGAAGGGCCGUCGCUCAUCGGAUAAAAGCUACCCCGGGGAUAACAGGCUUAUCUCCCCCAAGAGUUCACAUCGACGGGGANNNNNNNNNNNGGUACGUGAGCUGGGUUCAGAACGUCGUGAGACAGUUCGGUCCCUAUCCAUCGCAGGCGCAGGAGAAUUGAGGGGAGCUGUCCCUAGUACGAGAGGACCGGGAUGGACAGACCGCUGGUGUACCAGUUGUCCCGCCAGGGGCACAGCUGGGUAGCUAUGUCUGGUACGGAUAAGCGCUGAAAGCAUCUAAGCGCGAAGCCAACCUCAAGAUGAGUUCUCCCACUCCGUAAAGGAGGUAAGAUCCCAUCAAGACCAGGUGGUAGAUAGGCCAGAAGUGUAAGUGCAGCGAUGCAUUAAGCAGACUGGUACUAAUAGAUCGAGGGCUUGACCUU
rnacentral:rRNA from 1 species